rnacentral:rRNA from 1 species
GACGAACGCUGGCGGCGUGCUUAACACAUGCAAGUCGAACGGCAAGGCCCUGCUUGUGUGGGGUGCCCGAUUGGCGAACGGGUGAGUAACACGUGAGUAACCUGCCCUUGACUUUCGGAUAACUUCAGGAAACUGGGGCUAAUACCGGAUAGGAGCUCCUGCUGCAGGGUGGGCGUUGGAAAGUCUCGGCGGUCGGGGAUGGAUUCGCGGCUUAUCAGCUUGUUGGUGGGGUAGUGGCUUACCAAGGCUUUGACGGGUAGCCGGCGUGAGAGGGUGACCGGCCACAUUGGGACUGAGAUACGGCCCAGACUCCUACGGGAGGCAGCAGUGGGGAAUAUUGCACAAUGGGCGGAAGCCUGAUGCAGCAACGCCGCGUGCGGGAUGACGGCCUUCGGGUUGUAAACCGCUUUCGCCUGUGACGAAGCGUGAGUGACGGUAAUGGGUAAAGAAGCACCGGCUAACUACGUG